UACGUAGGGGGCAAGCGUUGUCCGGAUUUAUUGGGCGUAAAGAGCGUGUAGGCGGCCAGACAGGUCCGUUGUGAAAACUCGAGGCUCAACCUCGAGACGCCGAUGGAAACCGUGUGGCUAGAGUCCGGAAGAGGAGAGUGGAAUUCCUGGUGUAGCGGUGAAAUGCGCAGAUAUCAGGAAGAACACCCGUGGCGAAGGCGGCUCUCUAGUACGGUACUGACGCUGAGACGCGAAAGCGUGGGGAGCGAACAGG
rnacentral:rRNA from 1 species